rnacentral:rRNA from 1 species
UGGGGAAUAUUGCACAAUGGAGGGAACUCUGAUGCAGCAACGCCGCGUGCGGGAUGACGGCCUUCGGGUUGUAAACCGCUUUCAGCCAUGACGAAGCUUUUGUGACGGUAGUGGUAGAAGAAGCACCGGCUAACUACGUGCCAGCAGCCGCGGUGAUACGUAGGGUGCGAGCGUUGUCCGGAAUUAUUGGGCGUAAAGAGCUUGUAGGCGGUUUGUCGCGUCGAUAGUGUAAACACGCAGCUUAACUGUGUGCCUGCUGUCGAUACGGGCUGACUAGAGGAGGGUAGGGGAGAAUGGAAUUCCCGGUGAAGCGGUGGAAUGCGCAGAUAUCGGGAGGAACACCAGUGGCGAAGGCGGUUCUCUGGACCUUUCCUGACGCUGAGAAGCGAAAGCGUGGGUAGCAAACAGG